rnacentral:rRNA from 1 species
AUUGAACGCUAGCGGCAGGCUUAACACAUGCAAGUCGAACGAGUGGCGGACGGGUGAGUAAUGUCUGGGAAACUGCCCGCUGGCGGGGGAUAACUACUGGAAAUGGUAGCUAAUACCGCAUCCCAUUGGAUCGGCCCAGAUGGGCUUAGCUAGUAGGUGGGGUAACGGCUCACCAAGGCAACGAUCCCUAGCUGGUCUGAGAGGAUGACCAGCCACACUGGAACUGAGACACGGUCCAGACUCCUACGGGAGGCAGCAGUGGGGAAUAUUGCACAAUGGGCGCAAGCCUGAUGCAGCCAUGCCGCGUGUAUGAAGAAGGCCUUCGGGUUGUAAAGUACUUUCAGCGAGGAGGCGUUACUCGCAGAAGAAGCACCGGCUAACUCCGUGCCAGCAGCCGCGGUAAUAC